rnacentral:rRNA from 1 species
AUUGAACGCUGGCGGCAGGCUUAACACAUGCAAGUCGAGCGGGGUGAUGGUGCUUGCACUAUCACUUUGCGGCGGACGGGUGAGUAAUGCUUAGGAAUCUGGCUAUUAGUGGGGGACGACAUCUCGAAAGGGAUGCUAAUACCGCAUACGUCCUACGGGAGAAAGCAGGGGAUCACUUGUGACCUUGCGCUACUAGAUGAGCCUAAGUCGGAUUAGCGAGUUGGUGGGGUAAAGGCCUACCAAGGCGACGAUCUGUAGCGGGUCUGAGAGGAUGAUCCGCCACACUGUGACUGAGACACGGCCCAGACUGCUACGGGCGGCAGCAGUGGGGAAUAUAGGACAAUGGGGGGAACCCUGAUCCAGCCAUGCCGCGUGUGUGAAGAAGGCCUUAUGGUUGUAAAGCACUUUAAGCGAGGAGGAGGCUCUUUUGGUUAAUACCCAAGAUGAGUGGACGUUACUCGCAGAAUAAGCACCGUCUAACUCUGUGCCAGCCGCCGCGGUAA